rnacentral:rRNA from 1 species
AAUCAACGCUGGCGGCGUGCCUAACACAUGCAAGUCGAACGCGAAAGGGGAGCAAUCCCUGAGUAGAGUGGCAAACGGGUGAGUAACACGUGGGUGACCUGCCUUCGAGUGGGGGAUAACGUCCCGAAAGGGACGCUAAUACCGCAUGACAUCCUGCUUUUGGAGAAGCGGAGAUCAAAGCUGGGGAUCGUAAGACCUGG